CACCCGAUGACUGAAAGUAAGUGUAGGUCUUUUAAACCUAUUAUAGUAGCCGCCUACUUCUGGUGA
rnacentral:tRNA from 1 species